AUUGAACGCUGGCGGCAGGCCUAACACAUGCAAGUCGAGCGGAUGAGGGGAGCUUGCUCCUGGAUUCAGCGGCGGACGGGUGAGUAAUGCCUAGGAAUCUGCCUGGUAGUGGGGGAUAACGUCCGGAAACGGGCGCUAAUACCGCAUACGUCCUGAGGGAGAAAGUGGGGGAUCUUCGGACCUCACGCUAUCAGAUGAGCCUAGGUCGGAUUAGCUAGUUGGUGGGGUAAAGGCCUACCAAGGCGACGAUCCGUAACUGGUCUGAGAGGAUGAUCAGUCACACUGGAACUGAGACACGGUCCAGACUCCUACGGGAGGCAGCAGUGGGGAAUAUUGGACAAUGGGCGAAAGCCUGAUCCAGCCAUGCCGCGUGUGUGAAGAAGGUCUUCGGAUUGUAAAGCACUUUAAGUUGGGAGGAAGGGCAGUAAGUUAAUACCUUGCUGUUUUGACGUUACCAACAGAAUAAGCACCGGCUAACUUCAUG
rnacentral:rRNA from 1 species